rnacentral:rRNA from 1 species
AUUCCAGCUCCAAUAGCGUAUAUUUAAGCUGUUGCGGUUAAAAAGCUCGUAGUUGGAUUUCGGGCGUGGAGGUUCGGUCCGCCGUUUCGGUGUGCACUGUCUUUCUGCGUCUUUCUGUCGGGGACGCGCUUCUGGCCUUAAUUGGCUGGGACGUGGAUUCGACGAGGUUACUUUGAAAAAAUUAGAGUGUUCAAAGCAAGCUAAAGCUCUGAAUACAUUAGCAUGGAAUAACGCGAGAGGACUCGGUCCUUAUUUUGUUGGUCUUCAAGGAUGGAGUAAUGGUUAAGAGGGACAGUUGGGGGCAUUCGUAUUUCAUUGCUAGAGGUGAAAUUCUUGGAUUUAUGAAAGACGAACUUCUGCGAAAGCAUUUGCCAAGGAUGUUUUCAUUA